ACAGUACUUAGUUUGGUUAGUCUUCUGUAGUUAUGGAAAAAACACAGGCAGUUCAUGGCCAAUAGGGAAUAGUGGUUAAGAUAUUGAAGUAGGAGCUGGAGACCUAGGUUUAAAACACAACCCUCAGCCAUGGAAGCUUAAAGGGUGACUUUGGACCACUGACUUUCUCUCAGUCCAGCUUACUUCACAGGGGUAUUCUUGUUGGAAAAAUAGGAAGAGAGAACAGUACGGAAUCUCUCACCCCACAAAUUAAAUUGCUGAGGGUAUCUAAGCAUUGUGAAUUCUGAUAGAUGUGAUUCCAGUGUUCAGAUUCACAAAUAUAUAUGAACUUUAGGGAAACGCCAAUGUACUUUUCAACUGAAAACAAAAUAGAUUUAAAUACGAUUUUCUAUAUUAUUUUAAAAAGACAUAGUGAAGGACAGAGUUAAAGGAAAACAUAUUACAAAUUGAUUCAGUCAGCUGACUCGCCUGGACAAUCCUCUGCCUUGUUGCUAACAGCAGCCCCUUGAUUCAUUUGUGUGGGUCCCAUUCAGGCACCCCUGUGUUGGUUCUGCUUCUACACGGAUUGAAUUUUAUUGUUAACAGUUUGCAAUAGAGUACAAAAUAACACUGUAUUCUAUCAUUGGUAUUGGGAAAGAAGAGUGCCAGUAUGAUGUAGUGAUUAAAUGUUAUAUUGGGAUUAAUGACACCCAUCUUUAAAUCCACCCUGUGGAAAUCCUUUGUCUGACUUUGGGCCAAUGAUUCAUCUUGACCUACCCAUCAGGUUUUACGCAGAUAAUCUGAGAGGAAAGAAUGCUAGAUACGCUGCCUUGAACUCCUGAAGGAAAUACAAGAUAGAGAUCUAACAAAUAAGAAUUCUGCUUUUGUUUAAGGGGGCUGUGAUUAGGCCCAAGGCUUUGUAGUGAUAGAGUACACCAACUUUCUCUAAUGUGGCAGCAUCCAAAUGUGUUGGAGCUGCAAUUGCCAAUGAUGCUGGACUGUCUAGAAUUUGGGGGUUUAUAAUCUCAUCCUAUCAGGAGGGCAGCAGGAUGGACCAGACUGGACUGGGUGGAACUACAACGAGCUCAUUUAUUUUCCAUGGAUGAUGCUAAGAACACCUGCCUCACACAGUCUUUUCCCACUGUAUUGGGAAAGACUCUGUAGUUUUGUAGAAAGACUACUAUAACAGGCAUUCAACAUUAUCAGUGGGACCACAUGGUUUCCAUGGAAAAGGCCACAGCUCCAUAAACUAAAGGAUCAUAGAGGAGAAAUUUGGGAACACUGAAAAUUUGUGUUGAUAGAACCAAAUGUAAGAUUUAACCAUCGGAUAUAGUGCAAAGUUGUUUCAUGUAAUCUUCAUAGAUUUGCUGCAUAAUUUCAGAAUCCUUGUUUUUCUAUUUCAGACAGGCAACAAAAUAAAACUUCUUAAGACUUGGGUGGCUUGCAUUCAGAUUGAUGAGUCACUACAAGUAUAGACCUGGGAUUAGUCAUGAUACCAUACCAAGUUCAUUUCUGGUUUGGUUCAAUGUUGCCACAAAGAAAAUUCCCUUUCUUAUUUCCCACAAAGGACAAUUAAGAGCCGCUGGUAUGUGGCUGGUGGCUACUUCAUUUGCACCAUCAGCACAUAUUUUGUGGCGCUGUCUGAAAACUUAAUUGACUUGCUGAAAAAUUGAGCAUUCCAUGUUAGUCAUUGAUCUAGAAAUUAAGGGUAGCUUAAUUACAAGGGAUAAAAAUAUGAACAUUUCCUUUCCUCUCAGUUACUGAAGAGCCCUGCCUCAGUUCAUUAUAUGCUUAUCUUUAAACUGAUGACAUUAAGAAUGAUAGAAUCUUUUAACCAAAUAUAUUUUCCCCAAAUAUGCUGAUAGCCAAAAUCUGCUUCAGUGUCAGAAGAGGAAAGCAAAUGCUUAUUGUUGCUCAAAGAUUUGUGUUUGAAUGAAAAGAGGUGAAGAAGAGAUUGCAAAACAGAGAAGUAGAAGAAAAUAAGUGUUGAUGCAUUUAGUCAGAUCUAAUGUCCAUUAAUUGUUUCCACGGCAGUUUUAGAGAUCCAGAAUAAGUGCCUUCUUAGUUACAUUGCUGAGCGAAUGCAGGCAGCCAUUCUCUCAGAAUCCUGGAGUAAAGCUACACUGGAGGUAUUCUGGGAAAUUAAAAUGGCUACUGACAUUGUGUGUUUUUGUGGCCAGUGUAGCUAUUUUUACAUGGAUGCAAAGAAAAUAAACGGUGCAGGGUGCAGCUAGGAGAAUGACCCAAGCUUGCCACAGGCUUGUAACUUAAUUUGAUGAUAUAUAAUUGUCAUUGUCAUACUAAACAGUAUAUUUUAUUUUUCUUCUUUCACUGAGGUAAAAUUAGUGUAGGAUUUUAGAAACUGAUCUGAAGUUCAUAUGAAAAACCAGGAGAUGGCACCCUUGAAAGGAAUAGAGCAAAAGAAUCCACAGUAAAACAAGUCAAAGGGCUUUGAGAAAUAUUAUGAAAAAACACGAGUUGACUGUGGCAUGCUCAUACUGUAGAUUUGACAUCUGAUGGUUUAAACAGUUAUAAAAGAGAUUUCAAUUCUGCUCUGAAGCAAAAAUUAAACCACAAAUGACUCAAAGAUGACAAAGAAGCAAAGUGUAAUUCUGAGAAGGGAUUCCUAAGGCUUUAAUUUCCUCUAAUAUUCUAGCACAAUAUUCUUUGAAACUGUCCUGGAAAGAAGUUAUAUUCAUAUGCUGUGAUUUGUCCAUGUUUGCUGAAACAGUAGCUACAAAGGCUUGGCCAUGGAGGUGACACUCUCUGUUUUUUUCUUUAAACCUUUUUCUUAUCCAACUGACUGCAUGGGACCUUUUUGAUACCCAGCCCCAAAAGGAAUUUCUCACUUUUAAAUCAUAACGUUCUCCUGAAAAUUAUACUCACAGAUUGUAACUCACAAUGUGCAUGCGGCCAUAUGAUCUGCAUCCUCCAAAAAGAAGCAUUUGUUUAAAAACCAUCGUCUAGAUAGUUCCUUGAGACUUUAUUUUAAGUUGGGGAUAAAUCUCAGAAAUUGUCAUUGAGAAGAAAUGAAUAGAAUUGUUUUCUUUAAAAAAUAUAUUGCUUGUCUAAUAAAGUCAUAUUAUUUAAUUUAGUAAAAAAACCCUCCAAAACAAGCCAAAACAAACAAAAAAUAUCCCUAAAACUCAAAAGGAGACCCAGAUUCUGUAUUUUGCUGUUAUUGUUGCUGAUUACUGAUAUUUAAACUAUUUUGCCUUCAAAGUUCUCUGAUCCCUAAAUAACAGGAAUAGACUUUCCCUCUUUCAAAUAUCCUGUGUCAACUUUCUUGGAUCCCAUAAUAACAGAUGGACCUUGAGACUGUUUACUGUUUCUACCCACAAACUUCCUGUUAGUAAACUCCUAUAUUAUUUCUGAAACAGAAAAAUUACAAAGGAGCCUCCCAGCUGAUUACUGCUUACUGAUGAAUCGAUGCCAGAGAAGCUCUAUUUAAAAAAAAAAAAGCUAUCAAAACAAGAUCACUUGUUUCUUUAUUGCAUUGUUUUAUUAAAGGUUCCACAAGAUACAAAAUACAACUUAAAAGUUGCUAAGAACCUGAGGAUAAAAUAACAUUAAAGACAUUGUAAUGUAAUGCAUGCUGUAUGUAGUAAUAGGAAUGGAAUAUUGGUUUGUCCUGUACUCAUUAAUGGUGGCGGAGCUAUAGUUUGUUAAUAGAAUAAGGUAAUGAGUUGCUCUUUCUUUUGUUCUAAGUCAAAAAGUGUAAAAGAAGUCUUAAUAUUUCACAUUGGUAGAAUAAAGCUAUGGAUGUUGGAAUGUCUAUUAAUUCCUGUUUACAUGUAAAAUGUUGAUUCUGCAGUGGACUUUGUUCAUGCAUGAUACACAUACAUUGAACCAGAGAUCUUACUAUUUCAUAAAACUUGAAUAUUACCUGUGAUAUAAGUGGUGGAGAUAUUCAUACAUUUAGUAUUCUUUAUCUUGUGAAUGCAGAAGGGCUGUCUAUAUUCAUGAUGUAGUUUCCUUAAAAGUUAGUCUCAUGGUCCGGUAUCACCCAAACAUGUAAGGACUAAGGGUAUACAAUUAGUUUGAUUGUUUAUCUCCUAAUAUGGUACCAAUCUUAUACAGUAUUAGAAAAUAUAUUUUAGGAAAAUGUAUUUUCCUCAGAAGUAGUAAAUUUAGUCAGGAACCAGUCCAAUCUGAAAUACCAAUUGAGCUAAAAAAAUUGAUUACAGCCUUGAAUUUCUUUUUUCUUCCUGCCUGCAUAAGAGAACACUGUUUUAAACAUGAAUAAAUAAAUGGUUUUAACAUGG